GGUCUAGAAGUCAUGGAAAAGAAAAUCAUAACAGUCUAUAGCCUCCUCUCAGAGGACAAAAUCCACCAGCAUUAAUCAGCCCUUUUACUUUGGCAGGGAUGCCUUAUCUCUUUCUUCUAAGCAGACACAGUGCCUGCAGCCGAAUGAGCAAUCGUGACAAUUAAUAAUAAUAUUUUGCACUUGGAAUUUUCCCCCCGGCAGCAGCUGCUCUGAAAGCAUCUACUCAUUCAGCCACACAGUAGCAGCCAAUCAAUCAGUCUAUAGGAGCUCAGGGAGCAUCCGCUGCCAGCCUCUCAGCCCGCGCUGGACGCUUGGAGGACCUGGCAGCCUAGGAAACAGUUCCAGCACUCAGCGAGCUUGGGUGGGGAGCGAGGCUGUCACUGACUGUCACCAGGCCUCUGC
rnacentral:lncRNA from 1 species